CCGACACAAAGGCACCAAAAAGACGGGAAUUCAUUUGGCUUUCUGCUCCCUGCCACCUGGGAUACUCAAAAGGGUCUGAGCUGCUGUUGUAGGUACGCACACAGACAUGAAGAACGGCCGUAGCAAAGCAGAGAGCACAAGCUGUGAGACAACAGCCAGCUGUGCCUCUGCAUCCCCAGGACAGAGCGGAGGGGCUGAUAAGGGGUAAUUCAAACAGCACUACCCUGGGGCUGGAUCCAGGCCCAGAACAUGAUCAGCUGCAUCGCCUCACCUCUACCAAGGGGAAGCUUUAUUCAAAUUGCCUUACCUGCCCCUCUGCACAACCACUCCAACCACUGAGCCAGGCUCUGUUCUGGUCCUGCCUCCCACACUGCUGCACAGAGACGCUCUCUACAUCUGCCUGCUGAGCUCUGCAACAAAGCACGAGGAGCCUUAUCUCUGACUGCCUUCAGUUAAACACUGCCUUGGACAUUCCCUCAAUCACCCCUGCUGGAAAAUCACAGCCAGCCCAAAUGUUUCCUUCCCCAUAUCAGGCCAGGUACUUCAUCACACCCAUCUGGCUGGCUUGCAGGUGCCAGACGGAUGACAAGGGAAGCCAGACUGAGCGUGUCCUCCCCAUACUGUCCUCCUGUGUCCCCACACGCUUUGUUUGAUGGCUCUGUCUGAGCCAGACCUGCCAGGAGAGGAUGGACUAACAAAGAAAACCAUUCGCAUCACCAUCAGGGUCAGAAACUCCCCAGUCACCUGGAGAGCAAACACCAGCUUCACAGCAGUGACAAAAAUGCAUAAAGCCAGAGCCAAAACAACUAAGCUGAAGCCAAGAAGACUGAACCAUUUCUACUCCAUAUUCCUAUUCAAAUGAGACAAAUUCAUUUGAACUGAGAGAAAGCAGAACACAACAGACCAAACCCUGCACAGCCUUGUCUUAGGGUGGCUGAUGGCACCAAUGAAGUCCCCUGCUUGGCAAGAGAGGCAGGGAUCAAGUACCCUACAGGAGUAGGGCACACCUACACGCAUAGCCCUGUUCUCAUGCUCUGCUGCAGGGUGCAGAGAUUACCAGGGGAGCCACAAGAAGCUGAGUGACUUCCUGCUGCAAGGAUGCUAAAAAAUAAACAACCAAAAAAAAAAAACCCACCAGCAAAACAACCCAAAACCUACAAGGCCUGGAGGAGAACAGCUCCUUACAGAGAAGCCUGCUUUCAAAUCCAGGUUCUUUGCUUAACAAAUCAGGGCAGUUUACGCUUCUCAGACUGAUAUAGAUCUAAAUGUCUCUAUGCUCCAGUUAGAGCAAUGAAAAAAACACCAGUGGAUCUUAGCAGGCACUGCUACUAAACAAGACACAGCUCCUACUGAAGACCUGUAUAAGCACUGGGAUUCUAACAACACCUAGAAGACGAAGCAAACAACUUCAAGCUUACUGCCCUUUCAUCCCUGGGUUUGCUCUUAAGAUCUGCUCUCUCUGAAGUCUGCCUUCUCCUUCCAAGUGUGGUAGGGACUCUCUUGCAUGAGUAGAAAUGGCCAGUCUGGAGAAGCAAUUGGAAAGAAGUUCAAUUGUUUGCUUUUUAGCACUCAGAAUGAUAGUCAGGCCCAUUGCAGUGAUGCAUGCUAUCAGAAAGUCAGCAAAGGUUCAGUGCCACUGCUGCAGACAUGAGCACUGUGACACCCUGAGCUCCUGUUUUAGGGCUCAUGAGCUGACAGCUCAUAUCACAGCUUGAGGGCUAUGAAGAAGUAAAGGAUUCAGCUGCUCUGGCCCAGCAGAAAGGUUGCCCCUCAAAUUCUGCUGACCCUUCUCAGCUCAAAGAAAGGCUGAGCCACUGCACAGCAUCAAACCUGAGAACAACUGCUAGGAAAACUCGGGUGCAGGAAGGAGCAGCAGCAAGGACGUGGCUCAGAGCAGCUGUACCAGGAAGAGAGCACUUAUACGAACAAGACAGCAUGAGGUAAAGCUCACCAGGACUGAUGGUAACCUAGCCCCACCUGGCCUAAAUCCUUCUCCUGAACACAAACGCCUCCUUGGCGACACCAUAGGCCAAGAGCAUAGGAACCAGCUCAAGGUCAGCAACUCCAGGCCAGAAGGUGCAGGGAGGGCUCAGACCAUCAGUCAGGCACAGGCUCUACAAGUGGAAGCAGAAGCCUCUUGCAGAAAGAUCCCUGGGGGAAGGUGGGUGACCUGGCUCAUCAGCCCGUCACCAAGCAACAGGGAAAUCGAUGGGCCUUGUCUCCAGUGUUCUGCUUGCUUCCAGAUCUCUGGAGAGCAACAAAUCACCUUGUGCCUUAGUACUGAAAUGUUGGAUGUCUGCCCCUUGAUAUGCAGAAGGCUGUGCUAAGGGCAGAUGCUAACCAGCUCUGCACUUCUCACCAUUGCAGGCAGGUCUGGUCUGUUGAACAGUGUGUGAAAGCUCUCAGGAGCAUCCCCAAGGUUGCUCCACUCUGUCCCAUGUCACAGCAGGGGAACUGAUCAGUAUGAAGCUCAAGGAACAAGGACCUCCUUGUUAGGGUAUUUGAUUCUCAGCUUCUUCUGAUGGACAGGUCACUUGCUAAAAGGGGCAAAAUAAGAAACUGGGCUUAAAAUGAACCUUUUAAAAUAAAACAAUACUAAAAGAAACAAAAGCCAUAAUCAAAACAGAAAACAAGUGCAUCUGAUCAGAUGCAAACGUCAGCCUUUCGCAGGCUACAGCGGAAUCCCUCUGCAAUGGAUCUAACAUUACAAUUGUCAGACUAGGAAAGUCUCUCCCAACUGGUGCAGCAAAUCAGGCCAGAUAAAUUCCUCCUCUCCUGGCACAGUCUGCGCUCUUAGGAAGGGAAACAUCCCCACAGAGGCUGAGUGGCCAGCUGGAGCCUUGGUAUCUUUACUCAGGCCUGGUCAUAAGAGCUGCUUUCCCGCUUCGGGAAAUGUAUUCCACCCAGCAAAGGCAGAGAUCUUGCAGCACGCAGCUUUCUUUCAGUAUGGGAUGUGGCCCAGGACUGCUACCAUCUGCUUCCGAUAGCCCAAUACACAGCCAGCCAGGACUCAGUUCACUCUUGGAUGUCCCAGGGAGGAUCAGAGGCUGCACAUGGUGCGACGGGGAAGGCAAGGGCCUUGCUGCUUGCUGGCAGGGGGAAGGUAAGCUUCUUCCUCUUACCUGGACCUGCUAUUCAUUCCAAAUGAAUCACCUUUUUUUGUUUGUU
rnacentral:lncRNA from 1 species